rnacentral:rRNA from 1 species
GAUGAACGCUGGCGGCGUGCUUAACACAUGCAAGUCGAACGGAAAGGCCUCAGCUUGCUGGGGUACUCGAGUGGCGAACGGGUGAGUGACACGUGGGUGAUCUGCCCUGCACUUUGGGAUAAGCUUGGGAGACUGGGUCUAAUACCGAAUAUGACCUCUUCUUGGAUGUUGUGGUGGAAAGCUUUUGCGGUGUGGGAUGAGCCUGCGGCCUAUCAGCUUGUUGGUGGGGUAAUGGCCUACCAAGGCGGCGACGGGUAUCCGGCCUGAGAGGGUGUACGGACACAUUGGGACUGAGAUACGGCCCAGACUCCUACGGGAGGCAGCAGUGGGGAAUAUUGCACAAUGGGCGCAAGCCUGAUGCAGCGACGCCGCGUGGGGGAUGAAGGCCUUCGGGUUGUAAACUCCUUUCGCUAUCGACGAAGCCACUUGUGGUGACGGUAGGUAGAUAAGAAGCACCGGCUAACUACGUGCCAGCAGCCGCAGUAA